UGAUCCUGGCUCAGAUUGAACGCUGGCGGCAGGCCUAACACAUGCAAGUCGAGCGGAUGAAGGGAGCUUGCUCCUGGAUUCAGCGGCGGACGGGUGAGUAAUGCCUAGGAAUCUGCCUGGUAGUGGGGGAUAACGUCCGGAAACGGGCGCUAAUACCGCAUACGUCCUGAGGGAGAAAGUGGGGGAUCUUCGGACCUCACGCUAUCAGAUGAGCCUAGGUCGGAUUAGCUAGUUGGUGGGGUAAAGGCCUACCAAGGCGACGAUCCGUAACUGGUCUGAGAGGAUGAUCAGUCACACUGGAACUGAGACACGGUCCAGACUCCUACGGGAGGCAGCAGUGGGGAAUAUUGGACAAUGGGCGAAAGCCUGAUCCAGCCAUGCCGCGUGUGUGAAGAAGGUCUUCGGAUUGUAAAGCACUUUAAGUUGGGAGGAAGGGCAGUAAGUUAAUACCUUGCUGUUUUGACGUUACCAACAGAAUAAGC
rnacentral:rRNA from 1 species